rnacentral:rRNA from 1 species
GUAGGUGGCAAGCGUUGUCCGGAAUUAUUGGGCGUAAAGCGCGCGCAGGCGGUUCUUUAAGUCUGAUGUGAAAGCCCACGGCUCAACCGUGGAGGGUCAUUGGAAACUGGAGAACUUGAGUACAGAAGAGGAAAGCGGAAUUCCACGUGUAGCGGUGAAAUGCGUAGAGAUGUGGAGGAACACCAGUGGCGAAGGCGGCUUUCUGGUCUGUAACUGACGCUGAGGCGCGAAAGCGUGGGGAGCAAACAGGGAUUAGAUACCCUGGUAGUCCACGCCGUAAACGAUGAGUGCUAGAUAUUAAAAAGUUUCCGCCCCCCUUAGUGCUGCAGCUAACGCAUUAAGCACUCCGCCUGGGAGUACGGCCGCAAGGCUG